UUAAAAUUAACUAUCAUCUGUAGUUCUAUAUUUCUUCAUUUCACAACUUUGGUUUGCAGUGCUUGUCGGUGCUCAAGUGGUUGGACAGACCAUCUGCAUUGACACCAAAUGGCUUUAAACGCACAACAGAAAAAUAUUUGAAAUUAACUUCACCAUACACAACCUCUCACAAGGGUAAGGCAAACCCCAACACAGGUCCGAAUUCGCAAUAAGACCAUACCCAUUCUAUUCCUGUUAAACAUUCCUCACAUUGCCUUAGAUUACCUGGGCAGAACUAUAAGUCUUGCUGAAGGGAUAACUGUGUACAUGGGAAUGGACAAAGAUUAUAAAUAUACAAGGCUCGUAACCACUGUGCGUGGAAGCAGGGCCUCCUCAUGUAAUAUCAAAGUCGUUCAAUUCAAAUGUGCUCUUCUAAAGUGUAGCCAUUUUCUUAAUAUGAUGGUCAGCAAUAAAUACUAGCAGGAUAUUUGAUCAAAUACUAUUAAUAAAAACUAUUAAUAACAACAUGUCUGCAGCACAUACAAAAAGUGUCAGGGGAUAUUUCAAAUUCAGUUGGCUAAACUGUAACUAUACCUUACUGUAGACUGCACCUACGAUGGUGUAACGCUCUCUGGGUCUGGGCACUGCACUGAAGCUUUAGUCUAUAGGUUUCUGCCGGAGUCUGAGGUUAAGAUGAGAGAGCAGCCGCUGAGCCAAGUUGCAAAAUGUCCCUACAAUUAACCUCAGUUUAUAUGUGAUAGAUUGCGUCUCGAUGGAUUAGCGCAAAGGAAGGCUCGAGUCCAUAGCCCGCCGACCACCAACUCGAAAUGUCCAAAUUUGUGUCACAAUUGUUGGCGGUCGCCUUUAUAUUGCAAUAAACAAAAAUGUGGCAUUUUAUCAUCUCGCUGUGUGCAUAUAGAAGAAAGAAGCGAGGAAGCGAGACAAUAACUUGUCGUACAUGAAGAGUACAAACUCUUCAUAUCUACAAAUGUAAUCUAUCUCCUUUUGCGUCCACAUCCUCAAAAUAAUGGCCCCAAACGGGAUAUGGCUCAAAUUGUUUGGGGUAUGCGGCAUUGUAAAUGAUAUGUACUUUUAAAAAAGAACAUUCCCAAAUUGCUCAAAAUUAACAUUUCCUCAGUCAACCUGCCUGCUCGUAGACAAUGUGGUUUCCGGUUACAACAAACAGGCUGCAACUGUUACAACUCUACACUGGAAUAGACAAACAUACAAGUACAUUGUUUUACACCAAAUCUUCACUAGCAGAAGGUAGACAUAAAAUCUCAGCCCGACCUGCUGAGUUACUCCAGCAUUUUGUCUCUAUCUUCGGGGUACACCAGCAUCUGCAGUUCCUUCAGUAGCAUCAUGUAUCCCGCCUGUCCCCAUCCAUCAGCAUUAGCCCCGCUCCUAUUCGUGUCCCAAACUGACCUGUCCUAUGCCAUAGCAAACCCAUUGUCAAACUCCAUUUCACUAGGAGGAUAACGGCGAGUGAUAUCGACUCGCCUCACUCUCCCAAUACCCCCACCCCACCAAACUUUAGGUUUCGAGCAAAUUUUGUUCAACUGUUAAUAAUACUGCUUGCGCUGAAUGAGAUGCAUCGCUCUGAAAAGUGAAGGCUUUAACCAAACUGAAAGCGGGAAGUCUGCAGCAAGGGCCAAUUUCACCUGAACAUUCGGGUUCAUCUCCUGCGGCCGAUCCUUCCUCAGGUGACCAAACACUCGCAGCCUGAGAAGCCAAUGUGCUCCUUUACUCCUCUAACACUGCUUGACCCAUUUAUGUUUUAUUUCAUAUUUUCGAUGUUGUGUUUUUAAUCUAAAAUGAAGAUAAUAAAAUCACUCUGAGAGUUAAAUCACACGGGUUCAUGAAACAUUGGUGUACAGCCACGUCUGUGUUUUCACAGCGAUUAGAUCAUGUUUGAUAUCACGCCUGUGUCAUUUCCAGAUAUGUCCUUGACCAAAGGUUUAUAUUGAAGAUAGACACAAAACGCUGGAGUAACUCAGCGGGACGGGCUGCAUCUCCGGAGAGAAGGAAUGGGUGACGUUUUGGGUCGAGACCCCUCAUUUGUGUCGCAGCAUUGUGUGUCUACCUUGGGUUUUCAGAAUCAGACUUUCAUUCACUGCACAUAGAUUUACAUUAACGUGGCGUUCAGCCCUUCAGCAACCAACACUCUUGCCAACUGCACUGGAUUAUUUAAAAAAAAAAACCUUACAGUCGUUGCUAAAAUACAGUUCCUUUUAUAACACAAAAAACUUAUCGGAAUGUAUUCGUUGUUGCUAAGGCACAGUUUAAUCCAGGCCAUAGAAUCAAUAUCCGGGACAAAGUUUCUCAGCAAAUCAACUUCCCCAUUUUCCCCGACAGCAGUCCUUCCUGGAGGAAGGCUGUUUUAAUUUGCUAUGUUCCUACAUUAACGCUCGAACCUACAUUAACGCUUUGCCUCAUGUAGAUCCAGUGAGCUGCGUGCACAACAUGAAAUCCUAAACUUUGAGAAGACAACAUCAACUUUAAAAAAAACAUAUAAUUAGCUCUCUAAUAGUCGUACACAAGUGGGGCGGAUUCCAGCGUCCAGCCUUCCCAUAGAAAAGGAGGCUCAACUUUCACUUAGGCAUUGCACCACGUACUUUGGAAGCUAAAUGGAUGAGAAGACAUAAUUUGAAUGUAGGCAACUGUCUGAAGACUGAUGUCAUUGGCACAUUUCUGUCAGCUGAAUGUCAUUGAGUCAACACCAGCAUGGACAGGAACAGCAAACAACAGCGUCUCAUUAUUUAACCCAGCUGGUUUUAGUUUAGCGAAGGCUCCUGCAUAUACAACUUAAUUAGUUAUCAAUCAUUACGUGGCAAUUUGUUGUACCUAUGUAAUGUCUGCAUAACUGUGGAAAACAUACAUUUGUCAUAAUUAUAACAAAGGUGUAGUUGACAGCAAAACAAAUAUCAUUUUAAGUGACAACAGAUUAAAAUUGUGAGCAAAGGAUGCCUUGUUGCCAUUUAGUAUCAUGAUGGCAGAAUUAUUCUGAUGCAACAAUUACCCCCCGUGAAUUCAUGUUACAUAUUACAAUCCUGACAUUUUAGUGACAUUCACACACUUUUACUUUUGAAUCCUGUUGCUUUUAUUCAUUCCAUUUAAUUAAAAAAAUAUUGUGUAAAUUCAUUUAGUUUCCAUUCUCACAAAUGUUCUGUUACAUCAUAUUUUGCUGAAGGUUGUGCAGCACUAAAAACAUGUUUUGUACAUUUUUCAGGCAUUAAAUCUUCUAAAGCUC